rnacentral:rRNA from 1 species
GUGAGGAAUAUUGGUCAAUGGGCGAGAGCCUGAACCAGCCAAGUCGCGUGAAGGAAGACGGCCCUACGGGUUGUAAACUUCUUUUGCAAUGGAAUAAAAAGAGUUACGUGUAAUUCAUUGUAUGUACAUUGCGAAUAAGGAUCGGCUAACUCCGUGCCAGCAGCCGCGGUAAUACGGAGGAUCCGAGCGUUAUCCGGAUUUAUUGGGUUUAAAGGGUGCGUAGGCGGAUUGGAAAGUCAGCGGUGAAAGUUUGCAGCUUAACUGUAAAAUUGCCAUUGAAACUGUCAGUCUUGAGUGCAAAUGAGGUAGGCGGAAUGUGUUGUGUAGCGGUGAAAUGCAUAGAUAUAACACAGAACACCAAUUGCGAAGGCAGCUUACUGGGAUGCAACUGACGCUGAGGCGCGAAAGCGUGGGGAGCAAACAGGAUUAGAAACCCGUGUAGUCC